rnacentral:rRNA from 1 species
GUCCUAGCCGUAAACAAUGGAUACUAGGUGUUGAACAGAUCGACCUGUGCAGUACCAAAGCUAACGCGUUAAGUAUCCCGCCUGGGAAGUAUGCACGCAAGUGUGAAACUCAAAGGAAUUGACGGGGGGCCCGCACAAGCGGUGGAGCAUGUGGUUUAAUUCGAUGCAACGCGAAGAACCUUACCAGGGUUUGACAUGAUACGAAUUUCUUUGAAAGAAGAAAGUGCCUUUUGGAACGUAUACACAGGUGGUGCAUGGCUGUCGU